rnacentral:rRNA from 1 species
UCGGGGUGCGCAGGCGCGAAAACUUUACAAUGCGGGAAACCGUGAUAAGGGGACACCGAGUGCCAGCAUCAUAUGCUGGCUGUCCAGGUGUGUAAAAUACACCUGUUAGCAAGGGCCGGGCAAGACCGGUGCCAGCCGCCGCGGUAACACCGGCGGCCCGAGUGGUGAUCGUGAUUAUUGGGUCUAAAGGGUCCGUAGCCGGUUUGGUCAGUCCUCCGGGAAAUCUGACGGCUCAACCGUUAGGCUUUCGGGGGAUACUGCCAGGCUUGGAACCGGGAGAGGUAAGAGGUACUACAGGGGUAGGAGUGAAAUCUUGUAAUCCCUGUGAGACCACCUGUGGCGAAGGCGUCUUACCAGAACGGGUUCGACGGUGAGGGACGAAAGCUGGGGCACGAACCGGAUUAGAUACCCGGGUAGUCCCAGCCGUAAACGAUGCUCGCUAGGUGUCAGGCAUGGCGCGACCGUGUCUGGUGCCGCAGGGAAGCCGUGAAGCGAGCCACCUGGGAAGUACGGCCGCAAGGCUGAAACUUAAAGGAAUUGGCGGGGGAGCAC